UUAAUAACCCACAGUGCCUUUCUGUGAGGCUCAAAGGACCAUGUACAAAUAGGAUUCAUAUAAUGGCAGGACUUAUUGAAGGAGAAUUAAACGAACAUUUGGUUACCUACAAAAACAAUUUAAAAUAUUCCGCAGACAUUUUGGAAAUGGAGGGCUUGGUGGGCUUAAUUGAACCAAUUAACAAAUUUGCUUUGCCAUCAUACUUUAUGAACUCAUACAAAACAGGUGAAUUAAAUGAAAUGUAAAACAUUA